GUGGGGGAUAUUGGACAAUGGGGGAAACCCUGAUCCAGCGAUGCCGCGUGAGGGAAGAAGGUUUUCGGAUUGUAAACCUCUGUGGAGGGGGACGAUAAUGACGGUACCCCUUUAGGAAGCCACGGCUAACUACGUGCCAGCAGCCGCGGUAAUACGUAGGUGGCGAGCGUUGUCCGGAAUUACUGGGUGUAAAGGGAGUGUAGGCGGGAAUGCAAGUCAGAAGUGAAAACUAUGGGCUUAACCCAUAGCCUGCUUUUGAAACUGUAUUUCUUGAGUGAAGCAGAGGCAAGCGGAAUUCCAAGUGUAGCGGUGAAAUGCGUAGAUAUUUGGAGGAACACCAGUGGCGAAGGCGGCUUGCUGGGCUUUUACUGACGCUGAGGCUCGAAAGCGUGGGGAGCAAACAGGA
rnacentral:rRNA from 1 species